GAUGAACGCUGGCGGCGUGCUUAACACAUGCAAGUCGAACGAAAAGGCCCUGCUCUUGCGGCGUUCUCGAGUGGCGAACGGGUGUGUAACACGUGUGUAACCUGCCCUUGACUUUGGGAUAACUUCACGAAACUGCGGCUAAUACCGGAUAGGAGCUCCUGCUGCGUGGUGGGGGUUGGAAAGUUUCGGCGGUUGGGGCUGGACUCGCGGCUUAUCAGCUGGUUGGUGGGGUAGUGGCUUACAAAGGCUUCGAAGGGUAGCCGGCAUGAGAGGGUGACCGGCCACAUUGCGACUGAGAGACGGCCCAGACGGCUACGGGACGCAGUAGGGGGGAAUAUGGCGCAAUGGGCGGAAGCCAGAUGCAGCAGCGCUGCGUGCGGGAUGACGGCCUUCGGGGUGUAAACCGCUUUCGACUGUAACGAAGCGUGAGUGACGGUACUUGGUAAAGAAGCACCGGCUAACUACGUG
rnacentral:rRNA from 1 species